UACGUAGGGUGCAAGCGUUGUCCGGAAUUAUUGGGCGUAAGGAGCUUGUAGGCGGUUUGUCGCGUCUGCUGUGAAAUUUCGGGGCUCAACCCCGAACUUGCAGUGGGUACGGGCAGACUAGAGUGUGGUAGGGGAGACUGGAAUUCCUGGUGUAGCGGUGAAAUGCGCAGAUAUCAGGAGGAACACCAAUGGCGAAGGCAGAUCUCUGGGCCGUAACUGACGCUGAGGAGCGAAAGCAUGGGGAGCGAACAGG
rnacentral:rRNA from 1 species